rnacentral:rRNA from 1 species
GAUGAACGCUGGCGGCGUGCCUAAUACAUGCAAGUCGAGCGAACGGACGAGAAGCUUGCUUCUCUGAUGUUAGCGGCGGAGGGGUGGUUAACACGGGGUUACCCUACCUAUAGGACUGGGAUACCUUCGGGAAACCGGGGCUAUUCCCGGUUAAUUUUUUGAACGGAUUGGUUCAAAAUUGAAAGAGGUUCUUGCUUUCACUAUAGGAUGGAUCCGCGCUGCAUUAGCAAGUUGGUAAGGUAACGGCUUACCAAGGCAACGAUGCAUAGCCGACCUGAGAGGGUGAUCGGCCACACUGGAACUGAGACACGGUCCAGACUCCUACGGGAGGCAGCAGUAGGGAAUCUUCCGCAAUGGGCGAAAGCCUGACGGAGCAACGCCGCGUGAGUGAUGAAGGUCUUCGGAUCGUAAAACUCUGUUAUUAGGGAAGAACAUAUGUGUAAGUAACUGUGCACAUCUUGACGGUACCUAAUCAGAAAGCCACGGCUAACUACGUG